rnacentral:rRNA from 1 species
CAGCCGCCACGGUAAUACGUAGGGUGCAAGCGUUGUCCGGAAUUAUUGGGCGUAAAGAGCUCGUAGGCGGUUUGUCGCGUCUGCUGUGAAAUCCCGAGGCUCAACCUCGGGCUUGCAGUGGGUACGGGCAGACUAGAGUGCGGUAGGGGAGAUUGGAAUUCCUGGUGUAGCGGUGGAAUGCGCAGAUAUCAGGAGGAACACCGAUGGCGAAGGCAGAUCUCUGGGCCGUAACUGACGCUGAGGAGCGAAAGCGUGGGGAGCGAACAGGAUUAGAUACCCGGGUAGUCUCUGUCUCUUAUAC